UUUCUUUUCACUCCAAAAGGGAGGGCCUUUCUUUGCUUUAUUUCGUGAUUUAUGUUUUAAUUUUGCAUGUAUUUUAUUUCAGAUACAAUCACAAUGCCUAGAGGGGGACUUGAGGGUGUGAGAGACACCCAACGUGUGUGAAGGUUGUUAUUGCCAUCUAUUUGGUAUUGCGCAAUGAUGGUGACCUUCCUGUUUGCUCUGAAUUUGCAUGACACGGCUAUGUUUUUCUGGGCAAGCCAUCCAUUGGAUAAAACAGGGUGAGAGCUAGGCGAAAGCAGGUGGAAACACAGGCUAUGCAUUUACACACACCCUACACUCACACACAUGGCCAAUGUUGUGCAAAAGGGAUGUUGGGGUAUUGUAUGUCAAUGGUUAUGUUUGGGAUGGGAAAAUUAUUAUGGAGUUGAGUGAUAUUUGUCUUUUUUGUAGAGUGACCUCGACCCUUCCGCCAGGGGAGAGCGAUCCACUCCAAACUCAAACCGAGUUACCUAUUAUGAGUAGGUCUGAACCUCAUGUGAAGUUUCCCAGGUUCAAAGAUCACCAUCAGAAGACAAGGAAGAUUAGAUCCCCAGACCAUGCUGCUGUGCUCCCAUCUGUCACCAUAACAUUGAUUCCAAGUUUGCCCAACUAAGGCCAGAUGUGGGAAUGCAUUCUGAACAACAUUUUGAAUCCAUUGAAGCUGUUGCCGGGAACAAAGGUGAGAUGGCAAACCUAUGGGCAUUGUAUGAGCAGGAUGAUUGUGAACUUCAAUGGAAAGAAAUCAGCCUAUGAAUUCAACUUGGAUAACCGUCCUGGAGGAGUGCUGUGGGUUGUGACACCAUCUGAAUACGUCUCCCUUCAGAAGACAGAGCACACUUGUGAAUUGACUUCUACUGUAGUUCACAAUUGUGUCAAGAAAGGACAUUGGUCACUUAACAAAAGUGCAGACCAAGCCACUGUAGCGUAGAUGCUCCCUGAUGUGAAGAGAAUGGGAAAAUGUACCUGGAAUAGCAGUUUUCCCUGGGGACGUCUUAAAGAUCCCAGCCCUCAGUCUUUGAGAUAUGUGGUCCUGAAAUAUCGUGAGCUGUUUCCUACAACUCCUGUUCUGCUGGCCGGUUGCGCUGUCUGGAAAAAAGCUACUCCAUGUCCGGAAGGGUGCUGGAGCCACACCCUCUGGAUUGUGGUGAGUGCUGAAACAAAGCUUUGCUAAACAAAUAAGAUUCUCAUCAUUUCUUGGGACUAUUGGGAGACUUGCCUGACUCGAAUUGGAUCUCUGAUAUUGAUGCUUCUCCUCCUCUAGGCCAAGCCUAGAGUGAACCAUCUAGACUAAGAAUCUUUAACCAAUUUAAAAUGUCUUUCAAUAGGAAUCCAGAAGGGAAGAUUGGAAUCCAGUUUUGGCAUAACUGACUCGUCAGUCAAACUUAAGUGCCAGAGUGGUUACAGUUUUAAGCUUGACUGGCCUGAUUGGUGAGUUCAGAUAGUCAAGGUCUAUGUAGACCUGUGUCAUGGUAAGUCAUUCUAAUUAACUAACAAACAACAGUAACAUUGCACUUCAGAGUGUUUGAAGUGUGCCACAUACAUUAUCUCAGAAAUCCUUCCAACAACCCCUUAAGUCAAGGGCAGGCAGACCUAAGAUUUCUAGAAGCUACUUUCUCUCUCUCUUUUUGCCAGAGCCUUGGGAGCUACCAGCACAAAACAGCAGCUCGGGGGAGCAGAGUUGGUCACAAAAUGGCAACCUGGGGAGGUGAAGCCAGUAGCAAAAUGGCAGCUAGUGCAAAGAUUUUACCUGGCUGACGUUCUGAUUUAUGAAGCAUUUGUGUGAUGAGCAAAACUGCACAAGAACAAGAAGAUUGCAUCAUUGCACUAAAACCCCCAACAAUUUGGGAAAGAUCCCUAAACUAGAAAAAUACUACACACAAUACAUCAACAACACCCCCCCCUCUCUCUCUCUCACACACACACACACACAUCCCGAAGUCACAAAGUGUUCCAUGAGAAAUUGAGGCCAGGUUCAAAUUAAAUACCAAACCGGAGGUCCCUUUGUUGGAGAUGGAGUUCAAGUGCAUUGACCUUUUGCACCACCUAUCCUAAUGACCACUAGGGGCAUUGGGAGCAGAGGUGGCUAUUGAGGAUCUCCUUACCACUCCCUGCUUUCCUCUGCUGUAUGACCCUCGCCUUGACUCCUCAGGUACUCCCUGUAGUGAGUCAGUCCUCCAGAGAGAAGGUGGAAACAUUUCUCUCUCUCCCUACCUAUUCAUUAUGUAGCUGAUAGAUAGGAUAGGUCUUUCCUAUUCCAAAUGUAUUUCACUAAUAAACCUAUUUAGUUUAGACUCUACAAUGAUCUCCAUGUGUGUUACUUAAAUAGCUGCAACAACUAAACUCUGCACUCUGUAACUGGAGUGGUAGCUUCCUUGGUGUGGUGCUUCGCUAAAUAAUCACAAACCCCAACAGGAUUACAGGCUCAGCAGCCCAAAAUUCUGCAGCGGAUUUUUUCCUUUUAAAGUGCAGCUGAGUGAGUUAGAAAGACAGCAUGGAUCCAGAGGCGAGCGUCGCUGCCUUUUCCAAGCUAAAUGGAAGGCAUUAUGAACAAUGGGUUAUGAAAAUGGAAGCUCUCCUGAUGGCAAAAGGAAUUAAUGGAGUAUUCAGAGAACCACAACCAACAGAUGGGGAGGCUGCCAAAAAAGAGUGAGAUUCACAGAACGACAGAGCAUAUGUCUUGGUUCUUCUAAAUGGGAGAGGAACAGCCAAACUUCGUUGCUGGCAGUUUGGUGGACAGAUUGAGAAAAUUUUGAUCCAGGAUGCUCUCUUAGUCCCUGAUAUGGAGUGUAACUUGAUCUCUGUGGGCCAUGGAGUCAAUGAAGGUUGCAAAGUGACUUUUGAGGACAAAGCUUGUUACAUUACCAAAUAUGAUAAUUUAAUUAAUUAAUUACUGUUUUAAUAGUUUUAACAUUGUUUUAAGAUAUUGUUUUAAAAUUUUGAAUUGUUGUGGUGUUAACUUUUUGCUGUCAUUUAUUUUAACUAAUGUUUUAAUUUUUCUGUUGUCGUUUAUUUGUUUUAACUAAUGAUUUUAACUUUUUUGUUGUCAUUUUUUGUUGUAAACCACCUAGAGACGUACGUUUUGGGUGGUAUAAAUAUAUGUUAAAUUAAAAAAAUAGAUUAUGACAGCC